CCCCUUAGACUCUGGCAACCCCCAGGGCUUGUGGGAGGGAGCAUGGUGAGUUUCUUUGUCCUGGGGGAAGAGGACGCUCGCACAAGGGUCCCCCCCAUCGCUCGGUGGUGGAAGCGGUGGAGCCCUGCUCUGGCAGCCUAGAAGCCGGUGCCAUGGCAGCAAGCGGAGCAAGACGUUUACCAAACAGCUCAGUGGCUCAGCUUUAGCGCCGCAGCCUCGGAGCGGAAAGGAGCAGCCGAGUUCGGGGCUGCUGUUCCCCUCCCCGUGCAAGCGUCCUAGCGCUUCGGGCUGCCCGUGCCCGGCGCGUAUUCACUUCCUUGCCAGAGAAGUUUGCCCAGGUCAAGUGCCCGCUUCCCCCGCUCCGUGGGAGCCGGGUUCCACCGGCCCGGGGACAAUUUUACCGGGCGGCCGCCUCUGGGCUGAGGAGUCCCGGCGCUGCAGCCGAGAAGAGCGACUCCCUGCUCUGGCCGCCCGGUGCCCGAAGUGCAGGGAGCCUGAGCCAAGCUGCUGCCCGCACCCGGUGUCUUAGCUUUCCCGGCACGUCUGGGGGCGGGGCGCUACUCCGGGCUGCGCUAACUUCUGCAGCAGUUCAAAGUGCACCUGCUGCGCGGCUCCUUCCCGGCGCCCUGCCCACGCCGGACUAUGGAAGCGCUGUUCAUGCUGCUGCACCUCGUAGCUGCAGCUACAUUGGAAAUCAAGACCAGCCCUUCCCCAGUAUUCUGUCUGGUGGACAAACAUAUUGAGUUGCAUUGUAAUUUUACAAUCUGGAAGAGUGUUAAAUUGGAGGAUGUGGCAGUGAAAUGGACCAUAAACAAUGAAUUUGGAGAGAAGACAGUAUACCAGUUUGAUGGAAAGCAUACAUUAUACCACCGGAAUGGGGCCUUGGUGAAUCCUGAAUUACUAACUCAGGGCAGCGCAUCACUGAACCUGCAUAAUGUGACAUUAGAUGACGAAGGGAUCUACACAUGCACUGUUUUAAUAACCCCGCAAUAUGGAAGUGGGACAAUCCAGCUCCAAGUCAGAGCUCAGCCUACUGUGUUGCUGUCACCCCAAAACCCUGAAAUUACAGCAGGGGGAGAGAAAACCUUUUCCUGUGAUGUUCAUCAAUUUUACCCUCAAGAAAUUGACAUCUCCUGGCUGGUUAGGAAAUAUGGCAGUAAACACGAGAGGCCUUUAACACAGGACAUCUGCACAGGAGUCCCAUUGGCUCAUGAUAAAAAGGGCAUGUUCACCGUGUUGAGCCGGGUGACACGAGAGGUGUCUGAAGAGGAUGAUGGAUCCUUGUACAUCUGUGAAGUCCGACAUGAAUCCCUGGAAAAGCCGCUGAGAGGAAAUACAACCAUAUUUGUCAUGACCCCAAAGCAGUAUCAUCGGGAUAUUGGGUUCAUUGUUGGAGUAGCUGCUGCUUGUAUUGUGAUAACUGGAGCGUGUAGUAUAUUUUUGACCAUAUUCUAUCGGGAACAACUUAUGAAAGUACCGCCUCAGGUUUCCUUGAUUAACAAACCAGAUGUGAUCCCGAUUAAUGAGAAGCUGAAGCUGAUGUGCAACAUAAAUGGGUUUAGACCAAAAGCAAUUAGUGUGAAAUGGUACCGGAGAACCCCCCAAAUGGCAUCAAGUGAAACUCCUGGAGAAGCUUCUUUUCUUCUGGGUCCGAGAGAUGAUAUUACAGACAAGGCAAGGCAGCCUUUGGAAACCAAUGGCAAGUUCUUCAGUGUUCCAUCCUGUCUGACCUACACACCCACUAUCCGGGAUGAUGGGGCAGUGUUUGAAUGCAGCAUUGAGCACAGUGCACUGAAAAGCGCCAUAUGGAUAAGCACCACACUGAGUGUCACCGCUCGUCCGACAAGUCUCUACAUCACUAGCUGGCCUCAGGCUCCCACGGUAGGAGAGAAGCUCAUUCUGAGCUGCGUAGUAGAGAAAUUUUACCCUAAGGAUAUCACUUUGACUUGGUUUCGAAAUGGACAACUGGUUAGCGAUGUGACACAGUUUGGACCUUUCCCUUGUGAAAUAGACUAUUUCAGUGUCUGGAGCCAGACUGAGUUUAUACUGACCAAUGAGGAGGAAGGGGCAGUUUAUAUCUGUCAGAUAAAACACAGCAGCUUUGGAAAUAUAGAAGAACUCUUCUAUGAAGUUAACUUGCAAGGGACACCCCCUGAAGUUCUCUGGAUCACCACAGACCCCUCCAUUCCUGUGGUGGGAGAGGAGCUGAGGCUGAACUGCAGGAUCAAUAACUUCUCCCCUAAUGUGAUCACUGUGAACUGGUUCCGAGAUGGGCAGCUCCUGCAAGCGGGAGUCUGCCAUUCAGUCUCCAUAAUGGGAGCCAAUGGUUUGCACUCCAUCUGGAGUGUUUUGAGAGUCACGCCUGGAAGGGAAGAGGAAGGAGCAGUGUUUACGUGUCGGGUGACACAUGCUGCUUUAAGGGACUCUGUAGAAAGAUCAUACACUCUGCAGCUGCCUGAUUGAUGUGAUGAAGGCUCAACAGACUGUGCAGGGUGGGAAAGAAAGCAGAAGGUACACUUCCAGCACAAGGAAAAUUCUCUGGAAAUGAAACUUAACUGAAAAGUUGAUUCUACUUCCCUCCCACUUCAUCUCCUGGCUUUCACGUUCUCCUUGUAAAGGGAUCCUAACUGCUCCUUCCCAUCCUCCAAUGCAAGGACUGUGUCUGGUUAUAUGUCACGCUCGUGGCAGCUGCUUGCUGCCUUUCUGUAUGAGAAGCACCAGUUCAUCAGCUGGCUUGUAGAGCAGAGAGAAUUUUUUGUUCUUUAGCUUCACUUUUGGUUAAAGGGUGGCCUAGAUUCCUAGGGUUCCUGGUGGGUUGUACAGAAUUGCUAAAUGUACAUGUGAGAAACACUAUAGAGUUAGUAUUAUUAACAUAAAACUUUUUCUUAGUAUUUUUAACACCUAGGAUUUAUCUCCAAAGGGCAUUAAGUAAGAACUAGGGCUAGGGUAGCUAGGGCAGAGUUAUCAAGCUAUUUAACAGAAGGAAAAACAGAGACACAAAGUAGUGAAAAUGAUUUACCCAAGGUUAUGUAGAGAGCUGUGGAAUUAUUUUCACAGAAACUAAGGGGUUCGUUGGCUUUCAUGUACAUUGAAAUGAUCCUGCCUGAUUUCUAGACAGAAAUGGGCAAGGCCGCGAAGAAGACAAGAGAAGACCUAGCAUAUAUUUUACCACUGGGUGUCUCUCUUUACCUUAUCACUGGAGACAGAACUGAAAAAUGUAAAGACGGCUCUGCAGUCUGGCCUGUGGUGACCAAAGUGUGUUACCUAGCCCAGUGUGAAUGGAGAAAGAGCUUUGCCUUUUGUUUUCUUGAUUCUUUUCACAAUCAAGUAUUUGCGAAUUCAUUUAUUGAACAGAAAAUUGACACUCCUCCUAUACUUCUUACACAGUGGAUCGACUCCAGCUGCUUAGAGGAAUGAAUUCCCUUUCUCAGUGGGCCGACUCUAGAUCUGCUGUAAAUGGUCGCCAUUCCAAUGAUUUCAGUGGAAAUGCACCUUCUUACACCAGGUCUGAAUUAAGUUUAGUGUGCAACAACAUCAAACCAUGGGAAGGUCGGAUAUAAGGAAGUAGGGAAUGAUAAAACAAGGGCAGAGGGAGAAGUUCUUUUGGGAUAGCUUGUGGGGUUUUUUUUGGAGAGGGAUGUUGUUUAUCAACUGAAUUGUCUUAAUUUGUUGCAUUCUUUUUUUUAUUGUUGUAAGUCAGUGGCUCUCAAGCUUUCCAGACUUCCCUUUCAGGAGUCUUAUUUGU